UACGGGGGGGGCAAGCGUUGUUCGGAAUUACUGGGCGUAAAGGGCUCGUAGGUGGCCAACUAAGUCGGACGUGAAAUCCCUCGGCUUAACCGGGGAACUGCGUCUGAUACUGGAUGGCUUGAGUUCGGGAGAGGGAUGCGGAAUUCCAGGUGUAGCGGUGAAAUGGCGUAGAUAUCUGGAGGAACACCGGUGGCGAAGGCGGCAUCCUGGACCGACACUGACGCUGAGGAGCGAAAGCCAGGGAGCAAACGGG
rnacentral:rRNA from 1 species